rnacentral:lncRNA from 1 species
UGUGUCAUUUCUGCAAUGGGUGCAGCUUCUGCAGAGAGAAGGUGGUGGGCCAGAGGCAGAGCCCCAUCCCCAUCCCGAUCCCCAGAGGGACCUCAGAAUUGUUGGUGUUUCCACGGGCCGCCUCCGGGACAAUGACUUUUGCUCAGCUGGUACGCUGAAGCAUCCCUUCCAAUCUCCGUGAUGUCUGUUUCAAACUACAAAAUGCUGGACUUGGCUGGCCCCCCUCUAUUUACCAAGAAAGUUCUAGAGGAUGGCAUUCCGCGCAUCUCUACCAAACCUAGACUGUUGCCCUUCGCAGAUGUUCACAGAAGCUGAAAAACCCUCCCAAGCUCUGCUUGCUUCGGGGGGCCUCAUUCAGAGCCCAUCUUUCCUCCUCCAAGCCAGACCGGGAUAUUCCAGCAUCGGGAUCCCCCUUUCCUGGGCUUCUUCAGUUGUGGAAAGGCUGGAGGACAUCCUCUGAAAUGCUCCCAGCCCUUGGCAAGAGAAGGGAGGGGGCCAAAACCAGUCCCUGAGUCAGAGGCAGACCCCCUUCAUCUCCUCAAUGAAGAACCUGGAAUUGAUGGUGUUGACAUGAGGUCCUACAGGACAGUGCCCUCUGCCCACAUAGGCUCCCAGCCAUGCCCAGAAGGCUCCAUGAAGUCAGCUGCAAAACAGUCAACUAUCACAUGUACCCACCCCUAAACACUGAGACCUUAAAGUGACUCUUGUAAUCCUAGAGAUGAGUUUUGGCCCCAAUCUAGGCCAAUAUCCUUUGAAUUUCCCCUGAGUCCCCUGAACAGACUUCGAUGAGGCCUUUCACUUGAUCAGGGCUCCCCAGAUCCUCACAACCUCCAGGACCCUCCAUUUGAAAGCUGAGCCCAUUGUCCUGGUUCUCUCCCCUCUUGAUUGUUACUGACGGUGGGGACUUGUUCGGACACCUCUGGAAACACAAUCAUAAUCAGAGCAUCUUGCAUGUUCUGACUGUUGGUUCGCGCUCAUGCUUAACACUGAGUGAAUCAACUGAGGUGAUAUACUGGGGACGCGGACUGUGCCAAGCCAGGAAUGACCUCUUCAGGCCUCAGAUUCUGGUUCAGAGCAGCAGAGACCAAUUUCGUCAAGGCCUUCAUCUGGACAAGGGCUCACAUGACCCAACCCAGCCUGUGUGGCCCUCCCAGACCGUGAAGGGACAGUCCUCCCGGCUGCUUCUGACCCCUACUCAGCGGGGGCAAGUCCUCUUCGCCCACGUACCCCUACAUGCCACAAGGGUUCUCGCCAGAGUCCUGCCCUCAACCAUAAUGAAUGGAGGAAUGAACACGGCCGAGAUCCUGGCUUCUUGCUCAGCCUCAUCUCUGCCAGUGUGUCAUUUCCGCAAUGGGUGCAGCUUCUACAGAGAGAAGUUGGUGGGCCAGAGGCGGAGCCCCAGCCCCAUCCCCUUCAACCGGAGGGACCUCAGAAUUGUUGGUGUUUCCACGGGCCCCCUCCGGGACAGUGACUUUUGCUCAGCUGGUCCCAUGAAGCAUCCCCUCCAAUCUCCGUGA